ensembl:lncRNA MUC20-OT1 MUC20 overlapping transcript
GACUCUUGAUUGCAGCUGACAGAAACUCAUGACAGCCUGCUUUAGAUGAAGGGGGAGAGAAGGACUGGAAGAAUCUUGGAGUUGGGAAUGUCACACGUAAUUGAAGGAAGAACAAGAAAACUAUAAUUCUUCCCCUGGAGGCUGGAGUUUCCAGGAUGUCAAAAUUACCUCUGCUUGGGUGAGCUAUUUCAAGCAGCUGGGAUACCUGUGUCACUCCUGCUGUCUGCCAGUGACUGCCCAGGUGUCUGCUGGUUCCUCCCCAGGAGUAGGGAGGAACCAGGUGGGCUGGCUGGGAUGGGUGGAUAUUUAAAGACCAGGCCUUGGACGCUGCAGCACUUCUAUCUCUGCUUGAUGCCUGCUGCCACGUGGCUGGUCCUCCUCCUCCUGCUGUGGCUGAGCCUUGGGGUGAAGACAGGCAGCUGCUCCCAACCCCAGAACCUUUGCUGUCUUGGGACGGAUCACCGCUGCAAGAGGGGAAGUUGCUACUGUGAUGAAUUCUGCCAUGUGGCACCAGACUGCCACCCAGACCACAGUGUCCUCUGCAACCCUGGUAACUCACAUACAGGCCCGAUUCCACCUACAGCAAAGCUGGAUGCGAUGGCUGGCAGAGGCAAACCCUUUGCCUGCACUUCAGGCCAAAGCCGGGAUGUGGCCUAGAUGGUUCCUAAGGUCCCUGACAAUCCUGAGAUCUUGCAUCUUGUCUAUUUCAGGUCAAAGCUUCUCAGAUGACCAAGAUGGUGCUGCA